GAAGUCAAAUCGAUCCAAGUUCCAUCCAUCUUAAUAACAUCCUCCAACCCAACUAAACCCAUAAAACUCUCACUCUCUCUUCCUCCACUCUUCCUCCAACAUAAUUGUGGUUUGUGUUUCUCAGAUUCCUUAGAUCUUCCACCUAAGCUUCUUUCAUAGGUUUGUCAUCUUCGGCUGAAACGUACGUUAGGAUUCGAUCUUCUCAGGGAAGCCUUUGUUACCAAAGGGCAAGAAACAAUAGUAAGAACCAUAGGAGAAGUCGUGUGGAUUGAGUCGAUUUCUUCAUCAGAAGUUUCUAUAGGUCCGUGAAAACCAAUUUGCUGCAGCAUGUUAAUGUCUUUAAGGAUGCGAGACGUCCCAAUGAAGA